AUGACCAGUAUGCUAAAAGCCUAAAAUUGACCAUUAUGCAAAAUAAUCAUGCAUAGUGCUUAAAUGAUCAGUAGGCUAAAAUAGGCGAUUAGCUAAAAGCCUAAAAUGAAUAAAUGAUUAAUUACAACAAAACAAUCAUGCAUAGUGCGACCAAAACAGGAGAGGCUUUUAGCAUGAUCAGUAUGCUAAAACAGGCGAUUAACUAUGAUCAAUAUGACAUAAUGAUAUCGAAGAAGACCAAAACAGAGGAGGCUGGAGGCACGAUGGAUGGAGAUCUAACCUUGGCUCUGGUAAGAUGUUGAAGCCUAGGCUCCCAGCUACCCAGCACGGUGAACCUAAGAGACGGUGAUGGUGGUCAUCGGUCGGUGGACAGAAGAUGGAUCAAGGAGGGCCAAGCUAGGGCUUUUCAGCCUCUUCGACUUUGAGACUUCGAUGGGAAAACUGAGAAAGUUAGGAGACAGAAGAGUAAAGAGAAG
rnacentral:lncRNA from 1 species